UACGUAGGAUGCAAGCGUUGUCCGGAAUUAUUGGGCGUAAAGAGCGCGCAGGCGGUAUGUCAAGUCAGGUGUGAAAGCGGCCGGCUUAACCGGCAAGGGUCAUUUGAAACUGUCAGACUAGAGUGCAGCAGAGGAUAGUGGAAUUCCCGGUGUAGUGGUGAAAUGCGUAGAUAUCGGGAGGAACACCAGUGGCGAAGGCGACUAUCUGGGCUGCAACUGACGCUGAGGCGCGAAGGCUAGGGUAGCAAACAGG
rnacentral:rRNA from 1 species